rnacentral:rRNA from 1 species
AUUGAACGCUGGCGGCAUGCUUUACACAUGCAAGUCGAACGGUAACAGGGAGGUUGCUCCGCUGACGAGUGGCGAACGGGUGAGUAAUGCGUCGGAACGUGCCGAGUAGUGGGGGAUAACGCAUCGAAAGGUGUGCUAAUACCGCAUACGAACUGAGGUUGAAAGUGGGGGACCUUCGGGCCUCACGCUAUUCGAGCGGCCGACGCCUGAUUAGCUAGUUGGUGCGGGAAAGGCUCACCAAGGCGACGAUCAGUAGCGGGUCUGAGAGGAUGAUCCGGCACAGUGGGACUGAGACACGGCCCAGACUCCUACGGGAGGCAGCAGUGGGGAAGUUUGGACAAGGGGCGCAGGCCUGAUCCAGCAAUGCCGCGUGUCUGAAGAAGGCCUUCGGGUUGUAAAGGACUUUUGUCCGGGAGCAAAUGCUGGUAGCUAAAAUCCACCGGAGCUGAGAGUACCGGAAGAAUAAGCACCGGCUAACUACGUGCCAGCCGCCGCCGUAACAC